rnacentral:misc_RNA from 1 species
UAUUGGCGCCGUGUCUUGCCAUUUGUGUGAGCUAUCUUACUUUGCCUUUCAAGUGCUUGCGUGAUGUUACCUGACCUAUGGGUAUUGGUGCUUCAUACAUAGUUGCCUCGUGGUGGACGCCUUUGGGUGUGCUGCUGCGGCCAUAUGGCGAUUGCGGCGUUGCCUCGUGGUGUUGGUUCUCGUGUCCGGUGCUAUCAAGGCAGCCUCGCUUUCGCUAUUGGUUUUGGAUGUCGCUCAUGAUAUAUAGCCUCGUGGCCCAUUUGGUUGCCUCGGGGCCUGACCCUAAGAACGCUCUCCGACUUUGAGAACAUCGUUGAACGAAUGUUGCCUCUACCUUUCCACAGCAAGUGGUAGGAUUACGCAGUAUACUCGAUUCCGAUCCCCAAAUAAGUCGGACGAGCAAGACCCUAAGAAUGCUCUCCGACUUUGAGAACAUCGUUGAACGAAUGUUGCCUCUACCUUUCCACAGAAAGUGGUAGGAUUAUGCAGCAUACUCGAUUCCGAUCCCCAAAUAAGUCGGACGAGCUUGGCCCGCUCAACAGUGACA